CUUCUAUCUUGACAGAUGUCACUGAAUCUGAGGAAACUCAGUCGAAUGAAGACCUUCGAUGUUUGUGGAUGGUUCACUUUGGGUCACCACACUCUCGUUGCGAUGUGUAGCUUCAUCGCCACCUACCUGGUCGUUCUGCUGCAAGUGGGUGGCCACGAAACGUCGGUGGAGGAAAGUAAAGCCGCCAUUUCAGAAGUCCACUAACCAGGGGAUAGACCAAUGCCAUGCCUGACUGUGGGAGAGAUAUUGGGAACCCUUGAAAAUGAGGCUUUGCGGACAUCAUAUCUCUAGGUCAUUUCCCAGCCACGUGAUCUGGUGGACCUGCAAUCAACCACCUUUGCAUUUAUUCCUGG